rnacentral:rRNA from 1 species
GACGAACGCUGGCGGCGUGCCUAAUACAUGCAAGUCGAACGAACCGCGACUAGGUGCUUGCACUUGGUCAAGGUGAGUGGCGAACGGGUGAGUAACACGUGGGUAACCUACCUCAUAGUGGGGGAUAACAGUCGGAAACGACUGCUAAUACCGCAUAGGACAUAGGAUCACAUGAUUCUGUGAGGAAAGGUGGCGCAAGCUAUCGCUAAGAGAUGGACCCGCGGUGCAUUAGCUAGUUGGUAGGGUAAAGGCCUACCAAGGCGAUGAUGCAUAGCCGACCUGAGAGGGUGAUCGGCCACAUUGGGACUGAGACACGGCCCAAACUCCUACGGGAGGCAGCAGUAGGGAAUCUUCCGCAAUGGACGCAAGUCUGACGGAGCAACGCCGCGUGAGUGAAGAAGGUCUUCGGAUCGUAAAGCUCUGUUGUUAGAGAAGAACAGCGCAUAGAGUAACUGCUAUGCGUGUGACGGUAUCUAACCAGAAAGCCACGGCUAACUACGUG